rnacentral:rRNA from 1 species
AUUCCUACGGGAGGCAGCAGUGGGGGAUAUUGCACAAUGGGGGAAACCCUGAUGCAGCGACGCCGCGUGAGUGAAGAAGUAUUUCGGUAUGUAAAGCUCUAUCAGCAGGGAAGAAGAUGACAGUACCUGAGUAAGAAGCCCCGGCUAACUACGUGCCAGCAGCCGCGGUAAUACGUAGGAUGCGAGCGUUAUCCGGAUUUAUUGGGUUUAAAGGGUGCGUAGGCGGAAUAUCAAGUCAGCGGUAAAAAUUCGGGGCUCAACCCCGUCGUGCCGUUGAAACUGAUGUUCUUGAGUGGGCGAGAAGU